rnacentral:miRNA from 14 species
CAGUUGCUAGCUGUACUCCAUAU